UGAAACUACCAUAGAGUCUAUAAAGGCACCAAAUUCUAUCUAAUCUUGGAAGCUAAGCAUGGUCUCGUUUGAUUAGUAUUUGGAUGGGAUACAGCCAACAAAUACCAGAUGCUGUAGGCU
rnacentral:rRNA from 1 species